GAUGAACGCUCGCGGGAGGCCUAACACAUGCAAGCCGAGCGGUAUUUGUUCUUCGGAACAGAGAGAGCGGCGCACGGGUGCGGAACACGUGUGCAACCUGCCUUUAUCUGGGGGAUAGCCUUUCGAAAGGAAGAUUAAUACCCCAUAAUAUAUUGAGUGGCAUCACUUGAUAUUGAAAACUCCGGUGGAUAGAGAUGGGCACGCGCAAGAUUAGAUAGUUGGUGAGGUAACGGCUCACCAAGUCAAUGAUCUUUAGGGGGCCUGAGAGGGUGAUCCCCCACACUGGUACUGAGACACGGACCAGACUCCUACGGGAGGCAGCAGUGAGGAAUAUUGGACAAGGGGUUAGCGCCUGAUCCAGCCAUCCCGCGUGAAGGACGACGGCCCUAUGGGUGGUAAACUUCUUUUGUAUAGGGAUAAACCUACUCUCGUGAGAGUAGCUGAAGGUACUAUACGAAUAAGCACCGGCUAACUCCGUG
rnacentral:rRNA from 1 species